AACCCCCUAAUUUUCUAAAGGUGACCUCGGAUCACGUAGAAACCCGCUGACUAA
rnacentral:rRNA from 1 species